rnacentral:rRNA from 1 species
GACGAACGCUGGCGGCGUGCCUAAUACAUGCAAGUCGAGCGGACCAAAGGGAGCUUGCUCCUGGAGGUUAGCGGCGAACGGGUGAGUAACACGUGGGCAACCUGCCUGUAAGACUGGGAUAACAUCGAGAAAUCGGUGCUAAUACCGGAUAAUAAAAAGAACUGCAUGGUUCUUUUUUGAAAGAUGGUUUCGGCUAUCACUUACAGAUGGGCCCGCGGCGCAUUAGCUAGUUGGUGGGGUAACGGCUCACCAAGGCGACGAUGCGUAGCCGACCUGAGAGGGUGAUCGGCCACACUGGGACUGAGACACGGCCCAGACUCCUACGGGAGGCAGCAGUAGGGAAUCUUCCGCAAUGGACGAAAGUCUGACGGAGCAACGCCGCGUGAGUGAUGAAGGUUUUCGGAUCGUAAAACUCUGUUGUUAGGGAAGAACAAAGUGCCGUUCGAAAGGGCGGCACCUUGACGGUACCUAACGAGAAAGCCACGGCUAACUACGUGCCAGCAGCCGCGGUAAAGUA